GGUGGACUCCGGCGGUAAUGGAGUUGCUCCCAGCUUGGGGCUGGCCAAGAUCAGGCCCCCACCUCCCCCAGCUGCUGUACCUGUGGCAGCAAUGAGGAAGUGCCCGGAUGACUCCUCUCCCCUCCGCUCUGGGCCCCAGAUAAACACAAGUGUCUUGACACUGUGGACAAUGGCUCUGAAACAGAGGAGCUCCAGGCUUCCAAACCUGACCAGAGAGGGAGAGGGAAUUCUGUGUCAAUUAUGAAAGCAUGCUUCUGACAUGGACUCUCCUCUUGUUCCUCCUAAUGGACCAGCCUUCCUUCUCUGAGGCCCAAGACCUCCUCCAUCACCAAACUGACAGGCCGAGAACAAAGAUCUCUGCCAACCACAAAUACUACUGUGACUUGAUGAUGAAGGCUCGAGGGCUGGCCACCGAUCAGAGCUGUAAGAAGAACAAGACUUUUGUCCACAGUGUGCCACCCGGCACUCGUGGCCUUUGUGAGGGUCCAGCUGUGACGUGUAGGAAGAUGUCUGAGGUUUACAACUGCCACCUCAUCAUUUUCAAAGUCACUCAGUGUAAUCUCUACCCAGAGGCUGUGCCCCCGCACUGUUACUAUAAAGGUGUCACCUUCCAGAUGGAUGUGAGAAUAGUCUGUGCAGGCAAACGUCCAAUUCAUUUGGAUGAAUAGCCUCUGUAGUCUCUCAUCAAGGCUGUCUGCUGCUCUGCUUCACCCCAUCUCAUCCCCUCUGUGAUGUCCUGCUCAACCCCAGCUGGUGUGGAUUCCUGCAGAGUCUGGGCCCCCACUGUUCCCUGAGUCCUAGCCCCAACGCCUGCUAUUUCACUGUCAGUCCUGUGGAUUUGUGUUAGAGUGAUGGUGGAGGCAGAGGGCAGGUGGACUUGUCAUCAGCACCCUUUGGGACUUUUGGUUCUUGUCCUGUUUAAUUGCUUUGUCCUGGCUGCAGAGGGAGAGAAAGCUGAUGCUAAAUUCUUUCCUGGGGCUUGGUUCCUCAAUCCCUAGGGUGGAAGAGAAAGUCAGAGCGAGUUGUGGGCAGUUAUGCCCCAGGGAUCUGCUGAGCCCAUUUGCCCCUAAACCUGCUGCUUUAAUAAAACUCUCAAGGGCACUGAC